rnacentral:rRNA from 1 species
UACGGAGGAGGCAAGCGUUAUCCGGAAUUAUUGGGCGUAAAGCGUCCGUAGGUGGCUAGUCAAGUCUGUGGUCAAAGACUGGGGCUUAACCCUGGAAAGGCCGUGGAAACUGACGAGCUAGAGUGCAGUAGGGGUAGAGGGAAUUCCCGGUGUAGCGGUGAAAUGCGUAGAGCUCGGGAAGAACAUCGGUGGCGAAAGCGCUCUACUGGACUGCAACUGACACUCAGGGACGAAAGCUAGGGGAGCGAAUGGG